AGUAUUUGUGCGAGAUGUUCAUAGAUGGCGUGCAGAAUUUCUUGACCGACAUGUAGUAUUUGUGCGAGAUGGUCAUAGGUGGCAUGCUGAAUUUCUUGAGCGACUUGUAGUAUUUGUGCGAGAUGUUCAUAGGUGGCGUGCUGAAUCUUGAGCGACUUGUAGUAUUUCUGGGAGAUGUUCAUACGUGGCGUGCUGAAUUUCUUGAGCGACUUGUAGUAUUUGUAGGAGAUGUUCAUAGGUGGCGUGCU